AGCCCCUGGUUAUCACUAUUCCAUGCUUCGAUUCUGUGAAUAUGACUCCUUUAGAUACUUCAUGAGAUUGAGUUUUGGGCUGCACCAUGACUUUGUAGGAGAUGGCUGCAUUUUAACCUCUUUAGAAGCAUUUCCCAUAGAGCUUCACGCAAUCAGGACAUAAAGGUUUUGGGAAAAUGCAUGCCUGACCAGUUAGUCACUUGUACUUUGUGUUUGAGAAGUCCUAUCACACUUAUUUCAGCUUCUCACUUAAUGGAAAGUCAUUAGUGUCAGAGCUUCUUACUGGUUUUCAUGAUAACUUAAUUAGCCUGCUUCGUUAUGCAAGA